UAAGGAAUAUUGGUCAAUGGACGCAAGUCUGAACCAGCCAUGCCGCGUGAAGGAUGAAGGUCCUCUGGAUUGUAAACUUCUUUUAUCUGGGACGAAAACGGGAUUUUUAUCUCAAUUGACGGUACCAGAGGAAUAAGCACCGGCUAACUCCGUGCCAGCAGCCGCGGUAAUACGGAGGGUGCGAGCGUUAUCCGGAUUUACUGGGUUUAAAGGGUGCGUAGGUGGGCUUAUAAGUCAGUGGUGAAAUCUCCGAGCUUAACUUGGAAACUGCCGUUGAUACUAUAGGUCUUGAAUUAUCUGGAGGUAAUCGGAAUAUGUCAUGUAGCGGUGAAACGCUUAGAUAUGACAUAGAACACCAAUUGCGAAGGCAGCUUACUACAUAUAAAUUGACGCUGAGGCACGAAAGCGUGGGGAUCAAACA
rnacentral:rRNA from 1 species